UACGUAGGGGGCUAGCGUUGUCCGGAAUCAUUGGGCGUAAAGAGCUCGUAGGCGGUCUGUCGCGUCUGCUGUGAAAAUCCAGGGCUCAACCCUGGACCUGCAGUGGGUACGGGCAGACUAGAGUGCGGUAGGGGAGAUCGGAAUUCCUGGUGUAGCGGUGAAAUGCGCAGAUAUCAGGAGGAACACCGGUGGCGAAGGCGGAUCUCUGGGCCGUAACUGACGCUGAGGAGCGAAAGCAUGGGGAGCGAACAGG
rnacentral:rRNA from 1 species